GGGAAACAGGUUAAUAUUCCUGUACCUUUCAGCAUUAAAACCAACACUUCCGGAUAUGUCAGGCAUUCUUGCCUGGAUGUUCAAGCGUCUCAAAUCUGCGGAGAGCCGUAAUGGCGAGAAACAGAUUAAAGCGUGAUGACGUAAGCUGGCAAAUUCCAGGAGUCCGUGAAAAGGGAGCUGAAAGCCCGUACCGAGAUCCAACACUGGUGCCCCAAGCUGAGAAGGCUAAGGCGUGUCGGCAUAUGCUAGCUAAGGGAAUUCGGCAAAAUAGCCACGUAACUUCGGGAUAAGUGGUGCCUGCUUUGCAAGAAGCAGGUCGCAGUGACGAGGGGACUCUAACUGUCUAAUAACAACAUAGGUGAUUGCGAAUCCGUAAGGACUAGUACAAUCACUGAAUCCUGCCCAGUGCAGGUACCUGAAAACCGGGUUCAACCGGAAGAAGGGCCUGUCAACGGCGGGGGUAACUAUGACCCUCUUAAGGUAGCGUAGUACCUUGCCGCUUAAUUGGCGGCUUGCAUGAAUGGAACAAUGAGAGUCUCACUGUCCCUAGCUGGUACCCGGUGAACCUUACAUUCCAGUGCAGAGUCUGGAGACCCCUAAUGGGAAGUGAAGACCCCGUGGAGCUUUACUGCAGCCUGCCGUUGGGCUGUGGUUCUGAUUGUAGAGCAUAGGUAGGAGACGUCGAAGCUCGGGCGCCAGUCCGAGUGGAGUCGCCCUUGGAAUACUACCCUUUCGAAGCUACCGCCCUAACUCUGAGAAGAGGACCUCGGUAGGUGGGCAGUUUGGGUGGGGCGCCACGCCCUUGAAAAGAUAUCAAGGGCGCCCUAAGGUUGACUCAGUUGGGUCGGAAACCCAACAAAGAGUGUAAAGGCAUAAGUCAGCCUGAUGUUACCUCGCAUAGCAAGAGGUGAUAAGACGAAAGUCGGGCUUAGCGAACCUCUCAGCUCUCUUGGUGAGAGCGUUAGAUGACAGAAAAGCUACCCCGGGGAUAACAGAGUCGUCACCGGCAAGAGCACAUAUCGACCCGGUGGCUUGCUACCUCGAUGUCGGUUCUUUCCAUCCUGGCCGUGCAGCAGCGGCCAAGGGUGAGGUUGUUCGCCUAUUAAAGGAGAUCGUGAGCUGGGUUUAGACCGUCGUGAGACAGGUCGGUUACUAUCUACUAGAGGUG
rnacentral:rRNA from 1 species